AGCCCCGUAUACCUCAGAUCCAAAAGUUUUUUAAGUGUCGCAAAGAAAAAAAAAACAUACCUCUCUCUUUACGACAAACAUUAUAAAAAAAAUCCCCAAAUCUAAACUAGGUCAUCUCUUCGACUCUCCCAUAGAUUCCACUGUGAAAUCUUCACCGCGAUCAAAUCGGUUGCUCCCAGCUCAAGACUGAAGAUGCCAAUGGAUAUAACACAAUCGGGACAAGGAUCAAGACCGAUAUCGGCAGGAAGAGAGAAAGAAAGACAGAGAGCGAGAGCGAGAGAGAGACCGUGAGCAUGACCGUCAUUAAGGAGCGAGAGGAGGCUAAGGCUAGGAAGAAGGCGUGGGUUGAGAAAUUAUUUGAGAGAGAGAGGGUCCAGAGGGAGAAGGAACUUGACACCAUUAAAGACCUGUAUCUCGGAGGUAAACGUUCAGAAUUGGUCCUUGUUGCAACUUAUCGAUCUGACUUUAACGAGAAGGAGGUACACAGUUCAUAAUUGGUCCUUGUUUAAGUUUUCUUAAAUUGGUGAGUGAGAAAUAAAAUUCAGAUCUGCUAAAGGAGUUAAACAUCAGUUUCGUUGUAGUUUAGUUGUGGUUUGUUUGUCUUUAAUUGCUAAAGUCGAAGAGAUCCUUUUAAUUUCUCCUAGUAGGGUUACAUGUGUAGGAGCAGCAAUCCUUGAACAUCUCAUGAAACUUGAGGAGUUGAAGUGAAGCCAAGAAAAUUGUUCACUCUUAAGGCUAUUGAAGCAACAUGAAUCAGAAGACUUCACCAUUCCCAGGGUCGACUUGAUGGGCUUGCAGAUAAGCUUAAGUGUUUGGGAACAAAGAGCUUUGCAGAUUAUUAGACAUACCACAACCUUGUAUCUACGGAAAAGCCAGUCAUGAGGGUCUGACUUUGUUAUGAGAAGCCAAAAACACAUCAGCUUUGAAGUCCCAGAUUGAAAAGCUACAACAGGGGAGCGAUGAAUUCCAAAGGAUGGUGAUUGGCAACCAGAUGCAUAUGGAGAGGAUAACGUGGAACAUGUCUUUUCAUAUAUUCAAAGUGAACUAGUGGCUGUUCAUUGGAUUGUUUCAAGGGAAAGUGAGCAGAAGAAAGGCUUGGAUGGGGUACAUGUACAUGUAAAGCUUGUCUCUGUUCUUGUUCUUUGUAAUGUUAGUUUUAUUUUGUUUAAGACUUGGUGGCAUUUGAUGUUAUAUAAGACUUAUCUUGGUUAAUAUAAUAUUAAAGUUAUGUA